GUGAUAUCUUGGUUCCAAUAAGCUCGUCUUGGAGGGUGUUACACCAUGCAUACAAUCAUUGCAAUUACAAGCUGGCGAUACAGUGACCUUUAGUCGUAUAGAUCCUGGAGGGAAACUUGUUAUGGGCUUUCGGAAGGCCACAAAUACUGUCAGUCUGCCAGACUCACAGAUUUCAGCUAUUGCGGAUGGUUCCCUUCUCAGUGAGACACUCUUUUCUACUGCAAAUGAAAGCAUAGGAGUAGUAAGUGGUUAUCCUGGAUUUCUUCACUCAAUAAAGGGAGCUGCAAAUUUCCAUCCAAGCUCUCUAUAUGAUCAUCAUAUGAACUCAGUUGACGGGGAUGUCAGUUAGAAUAAGGCAGGUAAAUUUGGCAGCAGGCCAGAUGAGGGGUCUUUGCAGUUUCUACAAAAACGAAGUCGCAAUAUUGGUUCCAAAAGCAGGAGGUUCUUAAUCGACACUGAAGAUGCCAUGGAACUAAAGCUUACCUGGGAAGAAGCUCAAG